rnacentral:rRNA from 1 species
ACUUGAAUAUUAGGAGUUAUGGGCUUUAAAUUCAAAGAAUUUGGCGGUAUUUUAGUCUUGUUAGAGGAACCUGUUCUGUAAGCGAUAUUACACGUAUAAUCUUACUUACUUUUGUUUUAGCUUGUAUACCGUCAUUAUUAGAUAACCUUUAUUGAGAGAGUUAUUGGCCUAUAAAAAAAUUAGAUAUAUUAGAUCAAGGUGCAGUUAAUGGGUAAGUAGUAAUGGGUUACAAUGAAAUUUAUUUAAACGAAUUAAUGUUUGAAAAAUUAUUAUGAAGGAGGAUUUAAUUGUAACAUAAAUUUAAUAAGUUUAUGUGAUAUGAGAACUAGAAUAUGUACAUAU